UUUAAGGUCUAACCUGCCCAAUGAGUAUUAAAUGGCCGCAGUAAUUUGACUGUGCAAAGGUAGCAUAAUCAUUAGUUUUUUAAUUGAAAGCUGGUAUGAAUGGUUGGACGAGAAAAAUACUGUCUCAAUUUAAUUUUAAUUAAAAUUUUAUUUUUAAGUUAAAAAGCUUAAAUGCGUUUAAAAGACGAGAAGACCCUAUAGAGUUUAAUAUUUUUUUUAGUUGAAUUUUUUAGGUAUUGUUAAGAUUUAAUUAGUUAAAAUAUUUUGUUGGGGUGAUAGAAAAAUUAAAUUAACUUUUGUUUUUAUUUAACAUUGAUUUAUGAAAAACUGAUCCAUAUUUUUUGAUUAUAAGAUUAAAUUACCUUAGGGAUAACAGCGUAAUUUUUUUUAAGAGUUCUUAUCGAAAAAAAAGUUUGCGACCUCGAUGUUGGAUUAAAAUAAACUUUUGGUGUAGGAGCUAAAAAGUUAGGUCUGUUCGACCUUUAAAAUUUUACAUGAUCUGAGUUUAAACCGGUGUGAGCCAGGUUGGUUUCUAUCUUUAAAUUAAUGAUAUAUUUUAGUACGAAAGGAAUUAGUAUAUAUAAUAUUUAUUAUUUUUGAAUAUUAUUAACUA
rnacentral:rRNA from 1 species